AGUCGAACGAAGCGCCUGCGGCGGACCCCUCCGGGGGAAAGCCGCAGGGGACUGAGUGGCGGACGGGUGAGCAACGCGUGGGCAACCUGCCCCGUACCGGGGGACAACAGCCGGAAACGGCUGCUAAUACCGCAUAUUCCCGCGGGGCCGCAUGGCCCUGCGGGGAAAGCUCCGGCAGUACGGGAUGGGCCCGCGUCUGAUUAGCUUGUUGGCGGGGUAACGGCCCACCAAGGCUGCGAUCAGUAGCCGGCCUGAGAGGGCGGCCGGCCACAUUGGGACUGAGACACGGCCCAGACUCCUGCGGGAGGCAGCAGUGGGGGAUAUUGCACAAUGGGGGGAACCCUGAUGCAGCGACGCCGCGUGAACGAAGAAAUAUUUCGGUAUGUAAAGUUCUAUCAGCAGGGAAGAAAAUGACAGUACCUGACCAAGAAGCCCCGGCUAACUACGUGCCAGCAGCCGCGGCAAUACGUAGGGGGCGAGCGUUAUCCGGAUUCACUGGGCGUAAAGGGAGCGCAGGCGGCACGGCAAGUCCGGUGUGAAAGCCCGGGGCCCAACCCCGGGACUGCACUGGAAACUGCCGGGCUGGAGUGUCGGAGGGGCAGGCGGAAUUCCUAGUGUAGCGGUGAAAUGCGUAGAUAUU
rnacentral:rRNA from 1 species